rnacentral:rRNA from 1 species
GGUGAACGCUGGCGGCGUGCUUGACACAUGCAAGUCGAACGGUAUGUGGCAACACAUAGAGUGGCGAACGGGUGAGUAACACGUGGGAACGUACCUUCUGCAGGGGGAUAACUGACCGAAAGGACAGCUAAUACCGCAUAAGACCGAGAGGAGAAAGGUGCAACAGCAUCGGCAGAGGAGCGGCCCGCGGACCAUCAGCUAGUUGGUGGGGUAAGAGCCUACCAAGGCAACGACGGAUAGCCGGCGUGAGAGCGUGGCCGGCCACAAGGACACUGAGAUACGGGUCCUACUCCUACGGGAGGCAGCAGUGCGGAAUUUUAGAUAAUGGAGGCGACUCUGAUCUAGCGACGCCGCGUGCAGGAAGAAGGUCUUCGGAUUGUAAACUGCUGUGGUAAGGGAAAAAUGCCAUGUAGAGUGGAAAGCUACAUGGAGGGAUGGUACUUUACUAGAAAGCCCCGGCUAACUACGUGCCAGCAGCCGCGGUAAUACGUAGGGGGCGAGCGUUACCCGGAAUCACUGGGCGUAAGGGGAGCGUAGGUGGCCUGACAUGUCGACUGUGAAAACCCGGAGCUCAACUCCGGACUUGCAGUUGAAACUGCCAGGCUUGAGGACGGUAGAGGAAGACGGAACUGCCAGUGUAGGGGUAAAAUCCUUAGAUAUUGGCAGGAACGCCGGUGACGAAGGUGGUUUUCUGGGCCGGUUCUGACACUGAUGCUCGAAAGCCAGGGGAGCGAACGGGAUUAGAUACCCCGGUAGUCCUGGCCCUAAACGAUGUUCACUAGGUGUGGGGAGCGGAAAGCUUUCCGUGCUAAAGCUAACGCGAUAAGUGAACCGCCUGGGGAGUACGCCCACAAGGGUGAAACUCAAAGGAAUUGACGGGGGCCCGCACAAGCGGUGGAGCGUGUGGUUUAAUUCGAUGCUAAGCGAAGACCUUACCAAGGUUUGACAUG